rnacentral:rRNA from 1 species
GACGAACGCUGGCGGCGUGCUUAACACAUGCAAGUCGAACGGUGAAGCUCCAGCUUGCUGGAGUGGAUCAGUGGCGAACGGGUGAGUAAUACGUGAGCAACCUGCCCCUGACUCUGGAAUAAGCGCUGGAAACGGCGUCUAAUACUGGAUACGAGAAGGGUCCGCAUGGGCACUUUCUGGAAAGUUUUUCGGUUGGGGAUGGGCUCGCGGCCUAUCAGCUUGUUGGUGAGGUAAUGGCUCACCAAGGCGACGACGGGUAGCCGGCCUGAGAGGGCGACCGGCCACACUGGGACUGAGACACGGCCCAGACUCCUACGGGAGGCAGCAGUGGGGAAUAUUGCACAAUGGGCGAAAGCCUGAUGCAGCGACGCCGCGUGAGGGAUGACGGCCUUCGGGUUGUAAACCUCUUUCAGCAGGGAAGAAGCGAAAGUGACGGUACCUGCAGAAGAAGCACCGGCUAACUACGUG